UUUUCGACUAAUAAUAAUUAUAAAAUUUUGAGUUUUUUAAAUAUUGCUGGGUUUUGAACUUCCACAUCAAAACCAACCUAAUUUAUAUGGUAUGAUACUCCUGUAGAUAAUUUAUGGCAAUUCUUUAUCAGAAAAAACUUGAAGUAUGAGGAAGUACAAGGGAUAAUCAAUGCUUAAUACGAGAAGAGAAAGCGGGGAUCACCAGAAAGAACAAAACGCCAAAAUCUACAAAGCUUUAUAAUUGAGACAUCUAACCGGAUCAAUCCUCCAAUCAUCAAAUUUGUUCCAACUCUUGAUACAUUUUUUUUGUUUCUUUUACUAAACAUGACAGUCUUAAAGGAGACAACCUGUGUGACCGUUGCCAUGUUGGGGAAAUUUGAGGAUGGCCAAGCAGGAUGUUAUUGUCAAGGAUGUGUUAAGUGCACAAAAAGUGUGUCUUUAAUAGAUGGAAAGCUGAUGUGAUAUGGUAAUCACAUCACCGUUGAAAAGGUGCCAAGGUAUAAGCUUGAAGUUUUGGCAACUGAUAUGAAAUUCAAGGCAAGGUUUGUCUUUUGGGAUGACAAUUGAGUGAAGUUAAUUGGAAAGUUUGCUUUUCAAAUGAGAAGGGAGUUGGUAGAGUUAGUUAAUUUCAGUUUGUUCAACAGAUAAUUUUUUAGAAUUUAAAUUUUAAUAUAGGUUUUGGUAUUAAUUCAGGCCAGUAAAGAUAUUCCCCUUGAAUUCCCUUAUGCAUUUGAUGCAAUUUUUAAAAAGUAGUUGGCCAUUAGAGCUGUUUUUCAGCCAAAAUAUGGCUGACUUUCUGUCAUUGGCUUCAAAGAUUACAAAGAUUCCCGUAAAAAAAGCGAUACUUCCCAAUAUAAUAUACUCAACUGUGUUUGAAGCAAGUGUCCUAAAAUCGUUGUGACAUCACAUCAUACACCAAAGUUUCAAACACCUGAUCCUUUGUCAUAAGAGGAACUAAGAAGUUUUUCAGUAAAUCAUUUCCUUAAAAUAUGAACACCUUGAGUACUACAUUUAUUGUUGCUUACUCUAAACUAAUAUUUUCUUAUGCAUGAUGAUUGCAGGAGCCUUUGUCUACAUCUGCAAAUUAUGACCCUGGUGUUGAAAAUUGUGUCCUGACUCUGUCAAAGAGAUCUUUAACUGAUGCAGUAGAAGAUAUUGAAAGUGUCCAACUUUCCUCAACCAAGAUAACCAAAGAGAUAAAAAAGGUGAAAUAAUUAGAACCCUAAGUAGAUCCUUUAGUUAGCCAAAAUGUUUUAAUGCAAAGAAUUGGAUUGUUUAUGUUAUGUUUUUACUUUGUGACUUUGGAGAUUUGUUUCUGUUUUAAAUUCAAGUUUAUUGACUAUGUUGAGUUUUUGGUUUUACAAUAUUAACAAUUGUGUUUCCUACAAGCAGAGAAGGAAUAAGUUUAAAAUUUAUAAGAAGUUGUUGUCAUCUAUUUCA